rnacentral:rRNA from 1 species
CCGUACCCAUACCGAACACGGCAGUUAAGCCCUCCAGCGCCGAUGGUACUGGGACGUAAGGUCCUGGGAGAGUAGGUCGCCGCCGGAGUU